CCUCCAGUAGCUCAGCGGAAAGAGCAAAGAGAUACAUAUACUGACCACAAGAGAUGUGACUCUUAGUCGCCGGUUCGACUCCAGCUUGGAGGU